rnacentral:rRNA from 1 species
UUGAGUUCAGACCGGUGUAAACCAGGUCGGUUUCUAUCUUUUUAUUACAGUACGAAAGGACCUAAUAAAUUAAUUUAAUU